rnacentral:rRNA from 1 species
UACGGAGGGUGCAAGCGUUAUCCGGAUUCACUGGGUUUAAAGGGAGCGUAGGUGGGGUGGUAAGUCAGUGGUGAAAUCUCCGGGCUUAACUCGGAAACUGCCGUUGAUACUAUCAUUCUUGAAUAUUGUGGAGGUAAGCGGAAUAUGUCAUGUAGCGGUGAAAUGCUUAGAUAUGACAUAGAACACCGAUAGCGAAGGCAGCUUGCUACACAAUUAUUGACACUGAGGCUCGAAAGCUAGGGGAGCAAACGGG